rnacentral:rRNA from 1 species
GACAGAGGGUGCAAACGUUGUUCGGAAUCACUGGGCGUAAAGGGAGCGUAGGCGGCGUGGUAAGUCAGAUGUGAAAUCCCGGGGCUCAACCCCGGAACUGCAUCCGAUACUGCCGUGCUCGAGGGUUGGAGAGGUAGCUGGAAUUAUCGGUGUAGCAGUGAAAUGCGUGGAUAUCGAUAGGAACACUCGUGGCGAAGGCGAGCUACUGGACAACAUCUGACGCUGAGGCUCGAAGGCCAGGGGAGCAAAAGGG